rnacentral:rRNA from 1 species
UGGGGAAUAUUGCACAAUGGGCGAAAGCCUGAUGCAGCAACGCCGCGUGAGUGAUGAAGGUCUUCGGAUUGUAAAGCUCUGUCUUUUGGGACGAUAAUGACGGUACCAAAGGAGGAAGCCACGGCUAACUACGUGCCAGCAGCCGCGGUAAUACGUAGGUGGCGAGCGUUGUCCGGAUUUACUGGGCGUAAAGGGUGCGUAGGCGGAUGUUUAAGUGAGAUGUGAAAUACCCGGGCUUAACUUGGGUGCUGCAUUUCAAACUGGAUAUCUAGAGUGCAGGAGAGGAGAAUGGAAUUCCUAGUGUAGCGGUGAAAUGCGUAGAGAUUAGGAAGAACACCAGUGGCGAAGGCGAUUCUCUGGACUGUAACUGACGCUGAGGCACGAAAGCGUGGGUAGCAAACAGGAUUAGAUACCCUGGUAGUCCACGCCGUAAACGAUGAGUACUAGGUGUAGGAGGUAUCGACCCCUUCUGUGCCGCAGUAAACACAUUAAGUACUCCGCCUGGGAAGUACGAUCGCAAGAUUAAAAACUCUAAAAGUGAAUUGACGGGGUCAU